GUGCUUACUUCGGCAGCACAUACACUAAAAAUUGGAACGAUACAGAGAAGAUUAGCAUGACCCCUGCGCAAGGAUGACACACAAAUUCAUGAAGCAUUCCAUAUUUUU
rnacentral:snRNA from 1 species